rnacentral:rRNA from 1 species
GACGAACGCUGGCGGCGUGCUUAACACAUGCAAGUCGAACGGAAAGGCCCUGCUUUUGUCUGCUGCUCGAGUGGCGAACGGGUGAGUAACACGUGAGUAACCUGCCCUUGACUUUGGGAUAACUACAGGAAACUGGGGCUAAUACCGCAUAGGAGCACCUGCUGCAUGGUGUUGGUUGGAAAGUUGCGGUGGUUGGGGUUCGACUCGCGGCUUAUCUGCUUUUUGGUGGGGUAGUGGAAUCCCAUGGCUUUGACGGGUAGCCGGCCUGGGAGUGUGACCGGCCACAGUGGGACUGAGAUAGCACCAAUAGUCCUACGGGGGGCAGGAGUGGAAGAUAUUGCACAAUGGGCGGAAGCCGUAUGGAGCAACGCCGCGUGCGGGAUGACGGCUUUCGGGUUGUAAACCGCUUGCGCCUGUGACGAAGCGUGAGUGACGGUAAUGGGUAAAGAAGCACCGGCUAACUACGUG